rnacentral:lncRNA from 1 species
AAGCUUUUCUUUUUGACGAUGUCCCCCCACCGCCGCCGCCCUGGAAGCCCCAGGCGUUGCCCCUGCAAGCUCCCGCUGGUGCCACCCCUGGUAUUCCCCGGCGUCGCCACCGCUAUGAGCCCUCGCCGACUUCGCCCCUGCAUGCUCCCGCCUGCGCCACUGCCCCUGCAAGCCGAUGGCGCUGCCCCUGGAAGCGGCCGGCUUCACCUCCCCUGGAAGCCACCUGCGACGCCGCCCCUAGAAGCUGCCUGGGAUGCUGCCCCUGGAACCAUCGGCGUAAAAUUCAGGUAAUUAGGAGGGGAUAAAUGCAUGCAUAGGUUUUGGAUUCAUCAAAUUCAGAGAUGAUCUAUGAAUUUUCUCUCUUUUUUCCCAGAGAAGAUGAGCUAUUAUAUGUUGUGUAGUGCCUUUGACUUUUCACUGUAGCAAAAACAGGAACAAUUCUCGGGCUCUUCUGAAGAGUGAUGAGUUCCUGGUAGUUCCUAUAGACUAGUCUGUUUCCAGUGUUGAAUUGUACAAGGUCUUGUUGUUUGGACAUCAGGCAUGAUGCUCAAAUUACUCUGCAUACAUUUUGUCUUGCAUAAAGAUGGAACUCCCGUUCAAUGCAUGCAUAUUAUUGGCAGUGUGGC